UACACUCCUACGGGAGGCAGCAGUGGGGAAUAUUGGACAAUGGGCGCAAGCCUGAUCCAGCCAUGCCGCGUGAGUGAUGAAGGCCCUAGGGUUGUAAAGCUCUUUCACCGGUGAAGAUAAUGACGGUAACAGGAGAAGAAGCCCCGGCUAACUUCGUGCCAGCAGCAGCGGUAAUACGAAGGGGGCUAGCGUUGUUCGGAUUUACUGGGCGUAAAGCGCACGUAGGCGGACUAUUAAGUCAGGGGUGAAAUCCCGGGGCUCAACCCCGGAACUGCCUUUGAUACUGGUAGUCUUGAGUUCGAGAGAGGUGAGUGGAAUUCCUAGUGUAGGGGUGAAAUUCGUAGAUAUUCGGAGGAACACCAGUGGCGAAGGCGGCUCACUGGCUCGAUACUGACGCUGAGGUGCGAAAGCGUGGGGAGCAAACAGGAUUAGAAACCCCUGUAGUCCCAUGA
rnacentral:rRNA from 1 species